GGACUGAGACACGGCCCAGACUCCUACGGGAGGCAGCAGUGGGGAAUUUUGGACAAUGGGCGAAAGCCUGAUCCAGCAAUGCCGCGUGAGUGAAGAAGGCCUUCGGGUUGUAAAGCUCUUUCAGUCGAGAAGAAAAGGUUGUGACUAAUAAUCACAACUUAUGACGGUACCGACAGAAGAAGCACCGGCUAACUACGUGCCAGCAGCCGCGGUAAUACGUAGGGUGCGAGCGUUAAUCGGAAUUACUGGGCGUAAAGGGUGCGCAGGCGGCUUUGUAAGUCAGAUGUGAAAUCCCCGGGCUUAACCUGGGAAUUGCGUUUGAAACUACAAGGCUAGA
rnacentral:rRNA from 1 species